UUCUUCACAUCAUAAUAUACUCGGUAGAUUAAAUCUUAAUUUAAAAUCAUGCAAAAUUGUUCUUUCCCCCAUCUCCGACAUACAUUAUGUUGGGCCAUUGCAACUUCAUUUAUGAGGCUUAAAGGCAUGUCAAUGACUUCCGUUUCCAUGCUCGAAAGGCAGUACAAAAAGAGAAGAACGAUGUUGGUAAAAUCUUUUGAUUCCAUUUAGCAAAUAUGCAUAACAUUACAUCGUUUAUUAUGUGGACUCACUCUCCGAAUGUCUCUUCCUGUCCUAAAUUUUUGUCUUGUGGUCUUGGCCAAGAAUUUCUCUCGCAUUGAAAGGAACAAUGACAACAACGACAGCAAAUACUUACACUUGCCAAGUGGCCAAGCCAUAAACUUAUGAAUGCGAUACGUUCUCGCUGGCGCGCACCAUAUCCUGCCACCAAAACAUCCAACAUAUUGUGUGUAAGAGAGUAUGAGUGUGUGUGCG